rnacentral:tRNA from 1 species
GGCUUCAUAGCUCAGGUGGUGAAAGCACUGACUCGGGUUCAUGGGUUCAAAUCCCGUUGAAGACA